GGCUACCUGUUCUGGUCCCCUUCCACACUGUGGAAGCUUUGUUCUUUUGCUCUUUGCAGUAAAUCUUGCUACUGUUCACUCUUUGGGUCCAUGCUGCUUUUAUGAGCUUUAACACUCACCGCGAAGGUCUGCAGCUUCACUCCUGAAGCCAGCGAGACCACAAGCCCACUGGGAGGAACAAACGACUCCAGACGCACUGCCUUAAAAGCUGUAACACUCACCACGAAGGUCUGCAGCUUCACUCCUGAGCCAACAAGACCACAAACCCACCAGAAGGAAGAAACUCCAAACAUCCAAA
rnacentral:lncRNA from 10 species